rnacentral:rRNA from 1 species
CCUACGGGGGGCAGCAGUGGGGGAUAUUGCACAAUGGGGGAAACCCUGAUGCAGCGACGCCGCGGGAGUGAAGAAGGAUUUCGGUAUGUAAAGCUCUAUCAGCAGGGAAGAAAAUGACAGUACCUGACCAAGAAGCCCAGGAUAACUACGUGCCAGCAGCCGUGGUAAGACGUAGGGGGCAAGCGUUAUACGGAUUUACUGGGUGUUAAGGGAGCGUAGACGGUUCUGUAAGUCUGGAGGGAAAGCCCUGGGCCCAACCCCGGGACUGCUUUGGAAACUGUGUACCUGGAGUACAGGAGGGGCAGGCGGAAUUCCUGGUGUAGCGGUGAAAUGCGUAGAUAUCAGGAGGAACACCGGCGGCGAAGGCGGCCUGCUGGACUGAAACUGACGUUGAGGCUCGAAAGCGUGGGGAGCAAACAGGAUUAGAUACCCGGGUAGUC